ensembl:lincRNA
UGGCGGGGCCUCUUUGCGUCCUCCCUUUACAUUCCUAAGUUCUGUGAAAGAGGCACUAGUAGCUCAGCCUAGCAAGGAAGGAAAAAAGAGGAAGUUUUUCUCCGCGUUCUGAUUACACUCUGAAUUCCCUUGUAGUGAGCUUACUUCUCUCCACCCACUUCUUACCAAGAACUCCUUAACUUGAGGGUGAACAACUUAAAGCUUGAUCCUACAGAGUUACCUGAAAAGUGAUUUGAGUAUUCAUUGAACUGAAAGAACUAAUCGUCUACUUCAGGCGGUGGGAAGCGUAUGGAAAUUAUAUUAGAACUUCAGCAAAGUGCACAGCUGCAUAAUAGAGAAGCCGGCACUCAGAUUGACAGGCAAAUAAGCCAGCUUGUGGAAGGGGCCUCUGGGUGGCAGCUCUGGGCUUUUGGGUGUUGGACAACCAUAGGCAAAACUGAAAUGGAACAGGGGCAGAAAAUAGCACACUUUUCCUCUACGCAACUGUUGCUUUUUCAUGAUCUUCCUGAAUUUUAUUGGGAUAAUUUUCCAAAUAGAAUUCCAAGCAUUCUAUUCAAAUGGUAAGCAGAACAACUUAUUAUAUAUUUUUUAUUCAUAAUUAGUAUAACUUUCUGAGUAUUGAAAUGAGAAAUUUGAUUUACUGUUCUUCACUCAUGUUUUAAUUUUUUUAUAAGAAAAACUAGAAUCACUAAAGACUAGACUCACUAAAGAGUUUUUUUUUUUAUUUUAUUUAAAAAUUGUAAUCCUGAAAUGUAAAUCUAUGGCAUGCAAACCUGGGAACUAUUUAAUCACUUUACUCUAAAAUCUGGUAAAAGGUAAAAUGCCUGAAAAUAGGCUACUGGCAAAUAUUUUGUAAACAAUGUAUAGGAAGAAUUGUAUAUCAAAAUAUACACAUAAAACUAUCUUUUCAGAUAAUUAUAUAUUAUUUAUUUUCUUAUAGUAAAAUUAUAAAACAUAUAAUCUAUAGCCUUCUAUAGAUACAUAAUUAACUGUGUUUUGAAAUGAUACCCAAUUCAUUACCCUCAUACAUUUGGCACUUUGAUAAGCUGGUCUAACGUCACUUUGGGGAUCAUCUUCAUUAAGUGUUUGUUUUCUAAAGAUUUGAGGUAGGAUACAUGAAGUCAUUCUUCUUCUUUAUAAUUAUGUGGCAGGAACUGUCUCCCUGAAAACUUUAUGGUUAAGUUUGUGACAAUCAUGCUGUCAGUCAGAUGGUGCAAAUUAUUUUAAUGCUGUUGAAUAUAAGAGAGAUGUCUAAAAUACAGAUCGUUCUCCAUCUGAGCUCAUGACCCAAGCAGUGUGCUUCAAAAUUGCAUUUAUCACAUUUUUUCUUAUUACAAAUGAUACAAUGUUCAUAAUGGAUAGAUAAAUUAGAAGCACAUAAAUACAAAUUUUAAAAAUCCAUAUUCUCAUUACCUAAUGUAACCUAUCAACCCUCUGUAUGAAUUGGUGAAUGUUUUCAGUAUAUGAACACACAACCUACUGUAAAAAUUCAAGAAACAAGUGUGACGAUGAUGUAAAAUGCAGAUUGGCCUCCUCUAGCCCCAUUUCCUCUGCAGCUGGGAUAUAAAUGUCU